UUAAGCGACUAAGCGUACACGGUGGAUGCCCUGGCAGUCAGAGGCGAUGAAGGACGUGCUAAUCUGCGAUAAGCGUCGGUAAGGUGAUAUGAACCGUUAUAACCGGCGAUUUCCGAAUGGGGAAACCCAGUGUGAUUCGUCACACUAUCAUUAACUGAAUCCAUAGGUUAAUGAGGCGAACCGGGGGAACUGAAACAUCUAAGUACCCCGAGGAAAAGAAAUCAACCGAGAUUCCCCCAGUAGCGGCGAGCGAACGGGGAGCAGCCCAGAGCCUGAAUCAGUGUGUGUGUUAGUGGAAGCGUCUGGAAAGGCGCGCGAUACAGGGUGACAGCCCCGUACACAAAAAUGCACAUGCUGUGAGCUCGAUGAGUAGGGCGGGACACGUGGUAUCCUGUCUGAAUAUGGGGGGACCAUCCUCCAAGGCUAAAUACUCCUGACUGACCGAUAGUGAACCAGUACCGUGAGGGAAAGGCGAAAAGAACCCCGGCGAGGGGAGUGAAAAAGAACCUGAAACCGUGUACGUACAAGCAGUGGGAGCACGCUUAGGCGUGUGACUGCGUACCUUUUGUAUAAUGGGUCAGCGACUUAUAUUCUGUAGCAAGGUUAACCGAAUAGGGGAGCCGAAGGGAAACCGAGUCUUAACUGGGCGUUAAGUUGCAGGGUAUAGACCCGAAACCCGGUGAUCUAGCCAUGGGCAGGUUGAAGGUUGGGUAACACUAACUGGAGGACCGAACCGACUAAUGUUGAAAAAUUAGCGGAUGACUUGUGGCUGGGGGUGAAAGGCCAAUCAAACCGGGAGAUAGCUGGUUCUCCCCGAAAGCUAUUUAGGUAGCGCCUCGUGAAUUCAUCUCCGGGGGUAGAGCACUGUUUCGGCAAGGGGGUCAUCCCGACUUACCAACCCGAUGCAAACUGCGAAUACCGGAGAAUGUUAUCACGGGAGACACACGGCGGGUGCUAACGUCCGUCGUGAAGAGGGAAACAACCCAGACCGCCAGCUAAGGUCCCAAAGUCAUGGUUAAGUGGGAAACGAUGUGGGAAGGCCCAGACAGCCAGGAUGUUGGCUUAGAAGCAGCCAUCAUUUAAAGAAAGCGUAAUAGCUCACUGGUCGAGUCGGCCUGCGCGGAAGAUGUAACGGGGCUAAACCAUGCACCGAAGCUGCGGCAGCGACGCUUAUGCGUUGUUGGGUAGGGGAGCGUUCUGUAAGCCUGUGAAGGUGUGCUGUGAGGCAUGCUGGAGGUAUCAGAAGUGCGAAUGCUGACAUAAGUAACGAUAAAGCGGGUGAAAAGCCCGCUCGCCGGAAGACCAAGGGUUCCUGUCCAACGUUAAUCGGGGCAGGGUGAGUCGACCCCUAAGGCGAGGCCGAAAGGCGUAGUCGAUGGGAAACAGGUUAAUAUUCCUGUACUUGGUGUUACUGCGAAGGGGGGACGGAGAAGGCUAUGUUGGCCGGGCGACGGUUGUCCCGGUUUAAGCGUGUAGGCUGGUUUUCCAGGCAAAUCCGGAAAAUCAAGGCUGAGGCGUGAUGACGAGGCACUACGGUGCUGAAGCAACAAAUGCCCUGCUUCCAGGAAAAGCCUCUAAGCAUCAGGUAACAUCAAAUCGUACCCCAAACCGACACAGGUGGUCAGGUAGAGAAUACCAAGGCGCUUGAGAGAACUCGGGUGAAGGAACUAGGCAAAAUGGUGCCGUAACUUCGGGAGAAGGCACGCUGAUAUGUAGGUGAAGUCCCUCGCGGAUGGAGCUGAAAUCAGUCGAAGAUACCAGCUGGCUGCAACUGUUUAUUAAAAACACAGCACUGUGCAAACACGAAAGUGGACGUAUACGGUGUGACGCCUGCCCGGUGCCGGAAGGUUAAUUGAUGGGGUCAGCGCAAGCGAAGCUCUUGAUCGAAGCCCCGGUAAACGGCGGCCGUAACUAUAACGGUCCUAAGGUAGCGAAAUUCCUUGUCGGGUAAGUUCCGACCUGCACGAAUGGCGUAAUGAUGGCCAGGCUGUCUCCACCCGAGACUCAGUGAAAUUGAACUCGCUGUGAAGAUGCAGUGUACCCGCGGCAAGACGGAAAGACCCCGUGAACCUUUACUAUAGCUUGACACUGAACAUUGAGCCUUGAUGUGUAGGAUAGGUGGGAGGCUUAGAAGUGUGGACGCCAGUCUGCAUGGAGCCGACCUUGAAAUACCACCCUUUAAUGUUUGAUGUUCUAACGUUGACCCGUAAUCCGGGUUGCGGACAGUGUCUGGUGGGUAGUUUGACUGGGGCGGUCUCCUCCUAAAGAGUAACGGAGGAGCACGAAGGUUGGCUAAUCCUGGUCGGACAUCAGGAGGUUAGUGCAAUGGCAUAAGCCAGCUUGACUGCGAGCGUGACGGCGCGAGCAGGUGCGAAAGCAGGUCAUAGUGAUCCGGUGGUUCUGAAUGGAAGGGCCAUCGCUCAACGGAUAAAAGGUACUCCGGGGAUAACAGGCUGAUACCGCCCAAGAGUUCAUAUCGACGGCGGUGUUUGGCACCUCGAUGUCGGCUCAUCACAUCCUGGGGCUGAAGUAGGUCCCAAGGGUAUGGCUGUUCGCCAUUUAAAGUGGUACGCGAGCUGGGUUUAGAACGUCGUGAGACAGUUCGGUCCCUAUCUGCCGUGGGCGCUGGAGAACUGAGGGGGGCUGCUCCUAGUACGAGAGGACCGGAGUGGACGCAUCACUGGUGUUCGGGUUGUCAUGCCAAUGGCACUGCCCGGUAGCUAAAUGCGGAAGAGAUAAGUGCUGAAAGCAUCUAAGCACGAAACUUGCCCCGAGAUGAGUUCUCCCUGAC
rnacentral:rRNA from 1 species